UACGUAGGGUGCGAGCGUUGUCCGGAAUUAUUGGGCGUAAAGAGCUUGUAGGCGGUUUGUCGCGUCUGCCGUGAAAUUUCGGGGCUCAACCCCGAACUUGCGGUGGGUACGGGCAGACUAGAGUGUGGUAGGGGAGACUGGAAUUCCUGGUGUAGCGGUGAAAUGCGCAGAUAUCAGGAGGAACACCGAUGGCGAAGGCAGGUCUCUGGGAUGAUGCUGACGCUGAGGCGCGAAAGCCAGGGGAGCAAACGGG
rnacentral:rRNA from 1 species